CAACAAGGCGCUCAGUCCCACGAGAUGUGAGAUCAUGACCUGAGCCAAAGUCAGACGCUUAACCGACUGAGCCACCCAGGUGCCCCUGUUCACAUUCUUAAAAAAUAUUUUUGACAAUUUUAGUUCCUUUGUUUUUUCCAUGUAGAUUUUCAAUAGCUUGUUAAUAUUUAUAUGAAUAAAACCUGCUUUUUAAAAUUGGGAUUGUGCUGAAUCUAUAGAUCCCUAUAGUUUAGGGAGAAUUGACAACUUAAUCUUGAGUCUUUCAAUCCAUGAACACGCUAUUUCUCUUCAUUUAGGUUUUGUUUAAUGUAUUUCAUCAAUAUUUUGUAGUUUUCAAUACACAAAUCUUGCACAUUGUGCAUGUGAGGGGGCUUUAUAUCUAAGUACUGUACUGUGGGAAGUCAAAUAGCUAUGUCCUGGUUAAGGAGAUUAUAGGGAACGUAUUACACUGCUUUCUGGACAUGAUGAAAACAGCUGACCAGUAUCUAUUAAUGUGUAUUUAGGGGUUGGGUCCUGCCUGUGCUCAUGUAUUCCUUAGACCGUAUUAUCUUUGGGAUAUCUUAUCUGUUCCCCACCCUGCUUUUGGCAGGCAUCUGCUCUUUUGUAGUCUGGGAAUGCCUUGUAGCAUUUCUACUCCUGUCGGAAUACUCAAAUUGCAAAUGUUGAUUAUGAAUUGCCUGUGUGGCACAACUUCUUUUCUUUUUAAAUUUUUUGUUAAUGUUUAUUUAUUUUUGGGAGAGAGAAAGACAGAGCAUGAGCAGAGGAGGGGCAGAGAGAGAGGGAGACACAGAAUCUGAAGCAGGUUCCAGGCUCUGAGCUGUCAGCACAGAGCCCGACACGGGGCUCGAAUGCAUGAACUGCGAGAUCAUGACCUGAACCAAAGUCAGACGCUUUACCAACUGAGCCACCCAGGCGCCCCAACAACCCUCUUGAUAUUCUAAAAUCCACACAGCUGGGGCAGGGUGGUGAAGGGUGCGAGGAAGUAUGGUUUUUGUUAAUGCCUUCCAAUCCCAAGGGGUCAUUUCAUAACCAUUUCUUAUUGUUUCAAUGAUCCCCUUAGUAAAAGAGCUUUGGAUACCAUUCUCAGCAACACUUUGUUUCAAUUCCUUAAAGAUAGUGAAAAGGAGGGACUCAUGCCUAAGGUGAUGUCCAGCAGUGGUAAUGACAGGGAAACUAUGAGACUCCCCAGCAGCAUAUCCCUCUUGUAAACAUUGCUGCAUAGCUAAUGGUUUAUGUCCCUCCAAUAUAGGUAUUGGCUUUAUAUUGGGAAGAAUAGGGACAGGAAGAGGUGGUGGAGCGAAGUUGUCCUCCAUUGUAGGAGGUGCCAUAGGAGUGGUGGGUGUUAGGCUAUCUUUCUUAAUUUUUUCCUUCUCUGGAGAUAACACGUAAGGGACAUAAUGCCGUUCAGACGAAACUCCAGGUCACUAAGAUGGAAGCAGGAACAUUCUCUCCUUUUUCAUGUUUUUUUUUUUUUUUUUUUUAAUAUUUCCUACUUGUUCCCAUAGAUCUAAAUCAACUGUACCAUGGUCUGGGAACCAGGGGCAGGUGUCUCAUAUUGUUCAUAACAAUUUACUUAAUUGAUCUUUUUUUGACAGUACAAUGAGCUGCCUUUAAAAGCUGCUGUAAAGUUUUUAAAUAUAAUAGCUGUUCCUUUGUCUUUUUUGGCCCAUGAUAAAGGAAGAGAAAAGAAAUACUCUCAACUAGACACCUUGGCAGCUAUCCCAAGUGGGUAUUGCUGUCCCUUACUGGGAUGAGGUCUGUCUGAAGUCUGGAACUUUCUUCUCCUGAAUGUGUCGAUUCUGCCACCUGAUGAGCUUCCUCCGGAACCUAUCACUGUCAUGUCAGGGUCACCAGUUGUGGGUUCAGCUUUUGACUUUGUCCAUCAAAACCGAGGAUGGCAGAAAGGAUUACUCAAGACUCCACAAGUCAAGAGAGCUUGGGAGAAGGCUCUGGGAUGCUGAAAAUGCUGCCUAGUGGCUGAAGGGAGAGAGUCUCAGGCACAAGUCCUGGCACCAGGGGGAUGCUAGAGGGGCACUCUGAGGCUGCAGAGCUCUGGAGGCUUUCCAAGAGGAAGAGAUACCUUCCCAGCCCAGCCUGGAGGUGUCCAGCCUGUGGAGGUUAUGAGAUACGCCCCAGAGAACUGAGGAAGAACAAUGGAGUACAUUAUUAACUAAAAUCAGUGCAUAAUUUUAUUUUUUUUAAGCAUUCUGGAACAGAUAAUUUAUCACAGUUUGAUGCCUCAGGAAACAUUUCAUUUUGGUUAUAUGACACAGAGAGAAGCUCUCUUAAACUUCCCCUACAGACUCCUUCGUAUAUUUGGUAUGAUGUUAAUCCUUUAGGCUGGUGUGGGAAUCUUCUCUUCUUAGCAAAAUUUGAAUUUCUACUUCUAGAUUAGAGUCAAAGAAGGAUUAGAAAGAUGUUCAUUUUAAUAUUUAAAGACCACUUUAGGAAUACUUACAAUAUCCUGCUAGUUAUGAAUGUAUUGCAUUUACUAAAAAUUGCUAAGUACCUUGCCAAAUUUUUGUUAAUAUUAUAAUCAAAGGUACUUAGUUACUGGUAUUUCUGCAGCCACUGAAAAUGCCAUGCAAUUAUAUACAGAAUAUAUUUUCUCUUUUGAAACUGAAAAGCCCUAGAGGUUCAGACUAAUGGCUGUGCUCUUCCAGAUACAUUAUUCAUUGUAAACUAGCUUUCCAGAAUCCUACAUUAUGGAAAACUAAUUACCUGUCACAUUUUUAAACACAUGUAUACUAAUACAUAUUAAGAGCAUUUUGAACAAUCUUUCAUUCCUAGUCAACUGUUUUUUGCUGUGUGUGUGUGUGUGUGUGUGUGUGUGUGUGUGUGUGUUUAACCGUGAAGGCAAAGUUUACAAAAUAGAAAAAUAACAAAUUAGGAAAAUUUGACACAAUUCAUUAUUAGAGAAUGAUAAGUAAGUAAAAUGGAGGAUGAGUAAGAGAUCUACAUGCUGAAUCAACUGUUAAAAUGUAAGUCUUUCUUGCUUUUGAUUUUGUACAGAUGCCAGCCCUGAAAUGGAGGUGGUAAGAGAUGUGUUUCCCAGUUGAGGACAUGAAAGACACCACUCACCAGUUGUGGGCAAUACCUACGAGGGGAUUAGAUGGGAACUUUUGCUACAUGCCCUGCUCCCCACAUAUGAAAGUUUCCCAAAGCAUAAUAUAUCCAAUUAUAUGCCUGGAUGGGGUUUUCAGGUCACCCCAGACCAGUCUUCUGUCAGUAAGUUCAUUAUUUGGUGUAGUUUUUAGGGAAAGAUAUUCAAAACUAGUCUCAAGUACAAGUGUUCAAAAACCCUGGGGAGUCCUGAACAAAUUCAGAGAAAACUUAAAUAAUAACAAAUCAGGUACAAUUGUAUUAGAAAUAUCUAGAAUACAGAUCUCCUCCAGUCAAGCUCUCUCCAUUUGUUCUACCACCCUGUACUGAGAUCUCAUUAAAUUUAGAACGCAGUUAAAAUCCUGCAAAAUUUUAUAUGAAUUGUCCCCUGCCACCCUAUCUAAUUAGUUCCUACUACUCUCUCCUAGUGUUCCUGGCUUCCUCUACUUCAACUAUCAGAAGGUGCCUGCAAUCACUGCAUCCCUUACAUAAAUUAAAGGAGUAAAGAAGUACAGGAGAUAUUACCCGACUUCUGAGGCUUCAUCAGAAGAAGCACGAAAUCCAUCACAUGGCAGAAAUGCAGAUGGGCAUUCCAUGAGAUGAGCCAAGAUUUUGAACACAAAGCCUUCUUCAGCCAGCUGGGAGCAGAUAUAUGAAGAGCCCUUGUCACCUGAAAUUUAUUCUCCUUCCCUAUUCAUUGUUCCAGAACAUAGGGCAGCAGCUAGAAUCUGUGGCUGAAACUGAAGUUUCAGUGAGCAGUAUGGUGAGCCUAGUCCAAACCUAUGUCAUCAUCCAAAUGUUGACUUCAGAUUUCAUUGAUAUUUACCAGUACCUUUGUUUUCUUGUUUUUCAUUCACAGCCCUUUCCUUUACUCAGUAUUUCGUGAAAUUCUAUAUAUUAUAUGUUAGAUUAUUUGCUAGACAUUUUGUAGUUUUAUCGCUAUUGUUCAAGGUAUUCUAUUUCCUGGCAUAUUUUCUAGUUGGUUGCUGCUGCUUUAGAGGUUGUUGAUUUUUACAUGUUGAUCUUGUACUGAGCAAACUUGCUGAACUCCCUCAUUCUCUGCACCAAUAUUGGUUAUUUUGUCUUUUCCUUUCCAAUUCUUACAUCUCUUAUUUCUUUUUCUUAUGUUGUCCAGGGCUUUUAAUACUAUUUUAAAGAAUAAAUGGGAUAGUAGAUGAUGUUUAUGUGAAGUGCCUUUAUGAAAUCAGAUGACUGCUGUGGCUUUGCAAUAGAUAGUAAAUUAAAUUCAGGAAGUUCCUUUUCUUAGUUUCUUAAGAGAAGCACACUUUUUAAUAGCUGCAUUGUAUUCUUAUGUACAAAUAUAUUGUAAUUUAUUUAGGCAAUAUCUUAUUGAGAAAUAUGUUGGUUAUUUUCAUAAAUUUAUUUUUUAUAUUACAAAAAAAUCCUACAGUAAAAAUCUUUGUACAUAUUUCUUUCCACACUUGUCUAAGUUUAUAUACAGGAAACAUUUCUAGAAGCAUAAUUGCUGAGUGAAGGAUGUGUGCCUUAAAUUUGUUUUCUCAAAUUUUGGAUAAAUGUUAUCAAAGAGAGAAAGAGCUAAACAUCUAUUCGUCUUGUUUUGUAUACUAUUUCAAGUUAACUAAGGGGGCGUAGUUGAUGAGAGUAAGUUGGUUUUAUAGAAUUUCAAAUGCAACUAUAGGUAGGGCAGUAGCAUUAUAAAUGCACCAUUUUGUGACGUUCAAAGCAGUAAUCGAUUCAAACAGUAACCAUUAACGGAUGUCAAAAUCUUGAAGAGAAAAGUUGAUGAUUAUAACAGAAGGAUCAGAUAGCCAUUGUUUGAAUGCACUUGUUAGUCUUAAAAUCAACACAGCCAAACAACCAGACUUUGUGAAGUACAGAGAACAUGUGAACUAGUCGCACAAAAAAGCUUGAACCUGAAUCUAAGUUUCUAACGUUUAAUUUCCAGUUUAGUGGGAGGAGAGAGGAAGGGAAACAGUUAAAUAGCACAAAGAGGAAACAAUUAGACAAACCCGGAAUGAAGACAUUCUACAGAAGAACCAUCUUAUUUCAGCCAUAAGUCAAUGACAUGAAUACAAAAGGGAGAGUCAAAAAUGUUAAAAAUUAACAGUCAAAAAUGUUAAAAAAUGUAAUUCAAAUACCA